CCUACGGGUGGCAGCAGUGGGGAAUAUUGGGCAAUGGGCGCAAGCCUGACCCAGCAACGCCGCGUGAAGGAAGAAGGCUUUCGGGUUGUAAACUUCUUUUCUGAGGGACGAAAAAAGUGACGGUACAUCAGUCAUAAGCCACGGCUAACUACGUGCCAGCAGCCGCGGUAAUACGUAGGUGGCAAGCGUUAUCCGGAUUUAGUGGGUGUAAGGGGCGUGUAGGUGGGAAAGUAAGUCAGAUGUGAAAACUCCGGGCUCAACCCUGAGCCUGCAUUUGAAACUGUUUUUCUUGAGUGCUGGAGAGGUAAUCGGAAGUCCGGGUGUAGCGGUGAAAUGCGUAGAUAUACGGAGGAACACCAGUGGCGAAGGCGGAUUGCUGGACAGUAACUGACGCUGAGGCGCGAAAGCGUGGGGAGCAAACAGGAUUAGAUACCCCAGUAGUC
rnacentral:rRNA from 1 species